AGGAUUUGCUAGAAGCGGAAGGAACUCUUCAACCAGGGAUGUAUUUGUGUGAGGAGGUUUAGUGCGUGGUUCUGCAGGAGAAAGGCUGUGAGGCGGUUUGGUGGCGAGAAGGGCGCAAGACCAGUUGGCAGAGUUCAGUUUUUCUUUCAGUGGGAGUGCCUGGCUCCGGCUGUCUUUGGGAAAGUUAGGAAGGACUAGAGUAGGGGGAGCCAAAGCUGUUUUUAGGUGGGGUUGCUGUUAGUUUGUAUGGCAAUGAUUGCGCACUAUGGGUUUGAAGAAGAUGUCUUCAGGCUGCUGAAUCCCACCUUAAUGUGGCUUUGAGUGAAUUGCAAAGCUGGUGUAAUCCUUGGGGCUUUUGGUUUUCCCGAAGCAAAACUGUAGCCUUUGUUGUAUGAUUUUUACGGAUGGCUCCUGGGAUUCCUCUGAUAGCAAAACCCAACCAGUUGCCCACGUCACUUUCAACUCCAUCUUACAAUAAAGCAAUGUCUGAAGAUGAAAAGAUGGCACUAGCUUCAAGAUUCCUUGGCAGCAAUCCUCAAAUCAGUUUACUCCAAGUGAAGUGGUUUGGUAAUUACCCUUACUGUCCUGAUACCUGGUAGGUACAGCAUUGUUAACUAUGAGGAAAUUACUAAAGCAGUAUGAACGGAACUUCAUUCUCCAGCCAGAUUGUGGAUGACAGAGCAAUACACAAGAACAAUGAGCCUUUUUAGACAAUCUGGAAUAGACCAUUGCCAGUCUAAAAAGGCUCCUACAGCUGAAUUCUGCUUUUUUGAAAUAAGCACUUCGGUGUUCCUCAUUUCACACUCAUGAACCAGCAUCAUAAAAGGAUUACUAUAAGUGACUCUAAAUUGCUAAAGUUUCUAUCUAGAAAUAUAUGGUAAAAAUUCAUUCAAUUUAUGCUUGGAGUACCAUUGUCCAGGUGGUUAGGGAAGAGGGUGGAGUGAUUUAAAUUAAGCUUCCUAUUUUGAAAUACUUUAAUUUCCUAAGUAAACAUGUAUUCUAACUGUUAUAAUAAUUAAAACAUAUUGGUUUGUAAUUAGUUUUUAUAUAACCUAAAAGCACAAUUCAGUAUCUUGUGUUUGUACAGCCCACAUUUGUGGGUGUAGAAGUAACAUACUCCCUAUAAAACAACAAACUUUUAUCCACCCUGCUAGGGAAUGGGACCAGCUAAAUAUCAGGCUAUUUGGGAUUGUAUUCAAUAUUAUGUUAAGUGAAACUUUCAAUCAGUGCAAUGAUUUUUCCUUCUACAACAGAGCAUUUUCUCCUUCUCCCCUCCCCAUGUGCCCCUAAAUCUGUUCUAGGGGUUUCUCCAGAGCAGAUUUGGAGAUAGUGCAGGGUGCGCACGGGGGGGGGAGUACCAUUGCACUAGUUGAAGUCAUUCCACUAGUGCAAGAAUUUAGUUGAAUACCACCUUAGAUUCUUCUCCUUCCUCUGCUAGGAAAGUUAUUUCUAACCAUCUGUAACUCAUUGGAUGAUAAUAUAUGCAUUCCUAAGUAGCAGAAGUUCAGUUUUUUUAAUAAAAUAAGAGAUUUACAAAAGGUAUAGAACUGAUAUCAAGAUUUAUAUACAGGCUAUCAAGAGUGAACAGGGUUUUUUUAAGUGCUUAAAAAGUUAUAAUAUGGUCAUGUGUUGUAGAGGAGUAAAUUAAGCUUUCUCAAGAGUGAGAAAUACAUUCCUCUUCUCAUACCCAAGAAAUCAACUUAUUAACCACAGUCAGGAAAAGUCCAAUGAUACAAGUGCUCCUUUUGCAGCACACAAAAAUUUAGUAAGUCAUGAGAUGAGGGUCCCACAUGUAGAUAGAAAGGCAGGUGAAAUGAUUUUAAUAAAUGUCUUCCACAUCUGGUCAUAAGGCUGUCUAGACAAUUAAGAGCAUUUUCAGAAGUGAUAACUGUGAAUGCCUUUUACACUGCUAUUUCCCUUUGUGAAUACUGACCAUAUACUUCUUAAAGGACCAAUGAAGGAAAUUCUAUGGUCUUUUAAAGCCACAACUUAUUUGCAUUUCAGGGACCUGCUGAAUAGAAACCAUGUUUAUUGUAUUCUAGUGCCAGUGUUUAUAUAUCUUCCACGUCGUCCAUAUAUUGUUUACUAUUACUAUUUAUCCCUAGUGUCUUUCUUUCAUGAGAGAUCACCACCUUUUUAUGCUGAGGCAUGUAUUUCAGCCUAUUUCUAUGCUACUUUGCUGAGGAAAUACAGAUCUAAGAUGGAAGAUGAAUGCAGACUGAUGUUUCAAGUGCUGAAAAUAUUAUUUUUAGAUUGCCUUCAGAAGAUGAAACUACUCCCAUUCAAACUCAAAGCAGUUUUGGAUGUCACCACACCUAAGGAGACACAGCUGGUUUACUGACAUUAUUUGAACUUUGGGGGAAAGUGAUUGUACAUCCACAGUUGUGGAACCCUAGUUGCAAGGCUGAAUAGACAAGUCAUGCCAAGCACAAUGCUAAGAUGAGGCUGACCAUCAGCAAAUGGGGUGGAGUUAUCUUAACCUUUUUUGGCAAAGGGUGUCAAUUUAUGGAUGCAGCUGUAGGUGUCAUCAAAUCCACAAAACUAGUUUAGGGCAUUUAGGGGAACUCAAUAUUCAAAGUUUAAAGCUUUAAUUUGUAGUUUUAUCCAUUUAAAACAGCAGAGCCAGAAAUGGCCAAAUAAUCACUUCUGAACUAAAAGUGAUUACUCCUACAUCAAUACCAGCAGUGCAGUGGGUAGCAAGAAACAAUCUGGGCCAGGCUGAUAGCAAUGUACAUUAAUUUCUAAACAAGCUAGAAACUUUUGGUUAGUUGCUCUUUUUAAAUUAGACUAGUUUUCAGAUUUAAUUCAUAAGGUACUUUGCCAUUGUUCUGUAAGUUGUUUUAUUUGUAACAAAUCAUUUCAUGUUUUGAAUUACUGGAAUCUGCUCUUCUAGAAAUAUAG